AACGAACGCUGGCGGCAUGCCUAACACAUGCAAGUCGAACGAACCCUUCGGGGUUAGUGGCGCACGGGUGCGUAACGCGUGGGAAUCUGCCCUUUGCUUCGGAAUAACAGUUAGAAAUGACUGCUAAUACCGGAUGAUGUCUUCGGACCAAAGAUUUAUCGGCAAGGGAUGAGCCCGCGUAGGAUUAGGUAGUUGGUGGGGUAAAGGCCUACCAAGCCGACGAUCCUUAGCUGGUCUGAGAGGAUGAUCAGCCACACUGGGACUGAGACACGGCCCAGACUCCUACGGGAGGCAGCAGUGGGGAAUAUUGGACAAUGGGCGCAAGCCUGAUCCAGCAAUGCCGCGUGAGUGAUGAAGGCCUUCGGGUCGUAAAGCUCUCUUACCAGGGAUGAUAAUGACAGUACCUGGAGAAUAAGCUCCGGCUAACUCCGUGCCAGCAGCCGCGGUAAUACGGAGGGAGCUAGCGUUGUUCGGAAUUACUGGGCGUAAAGCGCACGUAGGCGGCGACACAAGUCAGAGGUGAAAGCCCGGGGCUCAACCCCGGAACUGCCUUUGAAACUAGGUUGCUAGAAUCUUGGAGAGGUCAGUGGAAUUCCGAGUGUAGAGGUGAAAUUCGUAGAUAUUCGGAAGAACACCAGUGGCGAAGGCGACUGACUGGACAAGUAUUGACGCUGAGGUGCGAAAG
rnacentral:rRNA from 1 species